rnacentral:rRNA from 1 species
UACGGAGGGUGCAAGCGUUAUCCGGAUUUACUGGGUUUAAAGGGUACGUAGGCGGUUCAAUAAGUCGGAAGUGAAAGGUUCCCGCUCAACGGGAGACAUGCUUUCGAAACUGUUGAACUUGAAUCAGGUUGAGGUGGGCGGAAUGAGUCAUGUAGCGGUGAAAUGCAUAGAUAUGACUUAGAACACCAAUUGCGAAGGCAGCUCACUGGCCCUGAAUUGACGCUGAGGUACGAAAGCGUGGGUAGCGAACAGG